UACGUAGGGUGCGAGCGUUGCCCGGAAUUACUGGGCGUAAAGCGUGCGCAGGCGGCUUUGCAAGACAGAUGUGAAAUCCCCGGGCUCAACCUGGGAACUGCAUUUGUGACUGCACAGCUGGAGUGCGGCAGAGGGGGAUGGAAUUCCGCGUGUAGCAGUGAAAUGCGUAGAUAUGCGGAGGAACACCGAUGGCGAAGGCAAUCCCCUGGGCCUGCACUGACGCUCAUGCACGAAAGCGUGGGGAGCAAACAGG
rnacentral:rRNA from 1 species